rnacentral:rRNA from 1 species
UUCCAGACUCCUACGGGAGGCAGCAGUGGGGAAUAUUGCACAAUGGGGGGAACCCUGAUGCAGCGACGCCGCGUGGGUGAAGGAGUACUUCGGUACGUAAAGCCCUAUCAGCAGGAAAGAAAAUGACGGUACCUGACUAAGAAGCCCCGGCUAACUACGUGCCAGCAGCCGCGGCAAUACGUAGGGGGCAAGCGUUAUCCGGAUUCACUGGGUGUAAAGGGAGCGUAGACGGCUGUGCAAGCCAGAUGUGAAAGCCCGGGGCUCAACCCCGGGACUGCAUUUGGAACUGCGUGGCUUGAGUGUCGGAGAGGCAGGCGGAAUUCCUAGUGUAGCGGUGAAAUGCGUAGAUAUUAGGAGGAACACCAGUGGCGAAGGCGGCCUGCUGGACGAUGACUGACGUUGAGGCUCGAAAGCGUGGGGAGCAAACAGGAUUAGAUACCCUCGUA